UACGAGGGGUGCAAACGUUAUUCGGAAUCACUGGGCGUAAAGGGUGCGUAGACGGCAAAAUAAGUCAAUCAUUAAAUCUUCUGGCUUAACUAGGAGUCUGUGAUUGAAACUGAUUUGCCUGAGGAUGGAAGAGAGAAGUGGAAUUCUCGGAGUAGCGGUAAAAUGCGUAGAUCUCGAGAGGAACACCGAUGGCGAAGGCAGCUUCUUGGUCCAUUUCUGACGUUGAGGCACGAAAGCGUGGGGAGCAAACAGG
rnacentral:rRNA from 1 species